rnacentral:misc_RNA from 1 species
AAUUGGAUUUUUUUUUUUCAUUGAAGGGUAAAAGAACUCGUCUCCUUUUUGCUAACCUAGAAAUGGACAAAAGGACAAGCAAAUGAAGCAAAAUCAAAGCUAUACCUUUUAACAAUCAUAAGAAUAUGAAUGGUUGGGUUUUAAUUCACACUUCUCUCUAACCAAGGACUUGAAGCAAGUUGGGAGUAACUAACAAGAAUGAGGCAACUGGAGCAGAACAAGCACAAAUCUCCAAUGCUCUUCACUAAUAUCAACCUAAUAACAAAUAAAAACUUUACAAUUAUAUCACCAACGCAUUGUGGUGUUUCUUACAAAUUAAUUGGAACCAACAGAAACCAAUUAGCAAUAAUCUAAACAGCCCUUCAAACACAGAAAAAACCAUUAACGUACAAGCACUCAGCAACUUCUCCAAGUGGCUGGAGGGGGUAGCAGAAUUUCGUGGUGGGCACCAUUGGCACGGUGUGAAUGAAAGACUUUUACAUUAUUGUGCAAUUGCACUUGGAUUCCAGCUUCGGAGGCUUUAUACUAUCCGUGUUAUUAGAAAGGCCAACAUUACGUACCAUAGAUUCAUUGGCAUUUUCAUCAUUUUCGGUCUUGGUAGAAGGGGAUUUUACAUCCAAUUCCAUCCGUUUCCGUCUGACUUUCAGGGAUUUUGAUGUACGUUUUCCCGUAGUUCUGCUGCGUGAAUCCUUUCUAUCUGCAGUGGACUUUCCCAGAACUGUAACUGUUGGCCAAGAACCUUCCAGGCAGACCGAGUCUUCUUUUUCAAUGGCUAUAGUUGCAGCCCGGUAGGCCAGAUCAUGGACAAUGGAGCUACAGAAAAGUAUUGUAUCUGUUGCUUCUUCAAGGGUUAGGCUUCUUGCCAUACUUCCUCUCUGAACCUUUACAGUUGAAUCCUCCAAUAUGCCAUGUGAGUGAUCCGAGUUGCUUUGCUCCAGAACAGAAGCAGACAUUUCCUUGCCUGAAGAUGUAGGGAUUGAAACAUCCUGAAAUUCAUUUAUACUACUCUUUGAAUUUGUAGAGACAUCAUCAUUCUCUGAGCCAAGGGAACUUUGACAGAAGUUCUCAGUUUCUAUUUCAGAUAUUGAGACCAAAGAACUAUGAGCAGUAACCCCAAUAUCAAUUCGUCCAUCAACACUAGAGUUCAACAUGGUAUGUUCCAUUUCAACUGGAGGAUCUGGAGUAAUAAUUGAUGCUUCUACAUCUGAGAUACUGAUUGUAUUGUUUAGUAAAUCAUCUUUGUUUCCAUGUAGAUGACAGUCUUCAUAAGUCGGAAUUGAUGCUACUGGAUUCUCCUCUAACUGAAUGCCAACUGUCUGGCAUGACAAACCCGAUGUACAACCCUCCUCAGGAACUACUGCACCGGUAAAAGAUACAUUAGAAACACCCAUUUCCUUUUUUUCUGAAGAUACCACUAUUCCGUGAGAAGUUAAAGUUGCUCCUUCUAUUCCAUCAUGCUUCAUAUCACCAACAGAAGCCUCACUUUUCUCUUCAUGGGUGCUUGUUGCAAGACCUAAAGCAUGAGUGUGGUUUGAAGUUCCAGACAAAGAUGAUCCAGCACUUUGAGGUCUAUUUUUUGUGUCAUAUCUGUAGUUCUCCAUGUCAGAUUUCCUGCCACUUAACUGCCGUUGAACACGAGUUUCGACUUGCCUGCCGGAGCUGAAGUCAAUAGAGGAUGAAGCAGAGGUACUGGCAUGUCCAAAGGAGCUUCUCAAACUGUUUGCACCAUCUCGAGUAUAAGAGAAAUCAUCGUAAGUGAUGGUAGAGGCAAUAAAAGUCCUGGCUUGAACAACUGGCCCCUUGAUGCUGCUUGACCUCUUAAGCAGUACAGAAAUGCCAGCACCUUCAGAGACAUCCACCUUAAGACUUUGAUAGUCACUAGAACGUAGCAAUUGCUGAGCUUCAGAGUCAUUAUCAGGUAGCAUGUAACUACCAGCAGGUUGCCCAGCUGCAUGCUGGCUAGCAAUCCUCUGCUCAUCUCCCUCCACUGGUGACCUAGCUUGGGAACUUUCUUGGAAGUAAGUAUGGCUUUGUUCAUGGCAUGUAGCUUGGCCAUGCUUAACAUCAUCUCCUUCCUGAAUAACUCUCGACUCUACCUCAUCAAAAACUUGUGAUUGUGACUUAGGUAUGGCCACCUGUGUGUCAAGCUCAUCAAAUGGUUUGUGUUCAGAAAUAUUCAUAGACGACACGGGGGAAUUCUUAGAAGCUACUAUUGCUGUCUCCAGACAGGUGGCAGCCACAAGAUUGUUUUGUCUACAGCAAUCUGGACAAAGAUUUAUAUCCUUUUCCAACAUUUCAAUGGCAACAUACCUGCAACCACAUUUAAAACAAACUUUUGUGUUUUUGCUACUGUCGACUUCUGAAAAAUCAGCUUUGACACAUAAAGUGUCGGAAGCAGAACUGAUCUCCAUAUCAAUCUGCUGGUGGCUGAAAUCUUCAGAGUCAUUAGGCUCACAUUCAGCUGCAGGGUUUCUGUCAAAAUCACCAACCCGAAAGUGCGAACCAUCAUCCGCAUCAUGCCUGACAUCCUUAUUUAAUGUAUCCACCUUAUCAAAGGCAAAUACUUCUUCCUGAGCAUCAGAAUAUCUUGUUUUUCCACUUUCAAUUACCAUAUAUUCCAAACGGUGGUCAUUUCCAUCAGUAUCAGGUGCAGCACUGGUACCUUGAUCAGAACUUGCAUUACUGCUGAUUGCAACUGAAGAAUUCCUAGACAUCAAAGGACGAUGUGCAGAAUUUGCUUUUGCAACAUAGAAGGUAGAACUUGGCACACUAGAUAAGAGUGGUCUGAACAUUUUCUGAGGACUCUUCCGAUGAUCCAUUUGACGAAGAGCAGAACCAAAGGAUCUUUUUGGAGCAGAACUAGGAGAAAUUAUUCUCGUUGAUUUCUUAGAAAAUGCCACAGCUCUAUUAUUUGAAAAUGUGUCAGUUGUUUUUGAAGCCAAGUGGUCUAAGCUACCCGCAUGAAUUGAUUGCACAGAGUCCAAAUCAUCAUCACCAGAUGAUGCAACAGAACAUCUGCUGUGUGAGCUAGUCCGAUCUCGCUCUUGACUGUGUGAUGAACAAACACUUCUAGAAGCAGUCGGAGACAUUGAUUGCCUAUGAAAUUUUGAGCUUAAGUCCCUACCAUUUCUAGAUGCUGGUGAGGAACCCCUUACAUACGAUGCGGGUGAGGAACCCCUUACAUAUGAUGCUGGUCGAUCUGCCAGAGAGGUGCGGAGAUUGGGUGGUGCUUCAGAAGGGAAACCAGGGAUAUUUGAUUGCCAUGCCCUUAUUUUCGGUGAAGUAGAAUUCCCUCGACUUGUUCUUACAGGUGAAACUCCCCUUCCUCUUGACCCUGUGCUUGUCCUCCUUGGGGUCGGAGUUGAAGACCUUGGACCAGGUGUUGUAGCUUUACUUGGAGAAGGAGAUGGUCUACGUGAUGGAGAGGCAGGUCGUUGGCUAGGAGUUGGGCUAGAAUGAGAUGCUGAUGAUGGCCUUCCCCUGGACUGAAUUGAACUAUUAGCAGACCGAGGUGAUGGACUUAACCGAUUUGGACUUGCACUGCCACGACUGCUUCUGUAACUUUUCUCCAUUGUGGAUGAUCUUGAUAUAGUGAUAGGCUGACUCCGAGGCCUACCCCUGGAUGCAACGUUAGCUGGUGGUGGCUCAUCAUCCAAUGAAGGAAAAAGAGGAGUGUCGGGGGGAGUUAAUAACCAAUCAUAGUCAUUUUUCUCCCCAUCCGCAUUAAGCAGUUCACUACUUUCUCCUCGAACAGGAAUAGAGAUUCCAAGUUUGAAAUCUGAAAAUUGUCUCAACUUUGUGGAAAAUGUGUCUUCAAAGUCAUCAGAUGACUGGAGCAAAAAACUUUCUGUUUCUCUGGAUUGCAUUUCAUUGAAUAAAGCAAGAUCGUCAUCUUUCUCCUUGAAGAGCAAUCCACCUUCAAGACUGCGGCCUCGUUUAUGGUUCUUGGCUUUGGGCUCCCUCCCGGGAGAAUAUCUCAAUGCUGGAGAAGGAGGCAUCUCCACUACAAACUAAACUUCCAAAAUAAUCACUUUAACCUCUCCUUGCAACCACAACUAAAACAACCCUUUUUCCAAAUCCGAUUGCCCAUCACUUGCAUCCAACUAAAACAACUGAACCUUGCAUUCAAAUUGCCAUCCUCGCAAUUUCCAUUACUUAAUCCCACUUCCAGCAAUCCAAAUACAGCACAAUCAUACACAUAUAAUUCACAAUAACAGAAUCAACUGUACCAUUCCAAAUGCGGAAUCUCAACGACCAUAUCCAAUAAGCACGAAAUCAAAGCCUUCGCCUUGCAAUACAAUAUCUAAAACCCUAAAUUCCCAUCACCCUAAUGAUCCCGCGGUACCAAACCAUAACAUUUCACCGUCCACCCCCAAUUCCUACUCAAAUUUAACUUCUAUUACCUGUUUUAGCCCUCCACUGAAGCUUAAAAUUCCAAAAACAAAGCUAUAACUCACCGUUUGAAGCUCAGUGAAAGCAGCAAGACUUGACUAGCCAAAAAACCGAAUCAAAAUUUCUUCAAUGAUAUAAUUGAAAGCUCGUUGAAUGUGAAUAAGAUCUCGAAUUGAAAGAAAGAUAACUUUAAAUGCCAAUUACAAUGCGAAGAAUGUUGGGUAGCAAACUCGGAUCUAAUGCAUUUAAUGGCUGUGUGUUUGGUGAUAAAGAGUUAGCAGAUCGGAGAGGAUCGGUUAUAAAGUUUGUAGCUUUCUCUCUCCUCCGAGAAAAUGAGAGAAAAUUAGAAAGAAACUUGAGUAACUAACCCCUCUAUCGUUCUUUUUCUUUUCAGCUUGCCGCUCAGAUAUGCUCCUUUCCUCCGUAGCAAGCUUUCAUUUUUU